CAUUCCAAAGUAUGACUGAUGCUUUGUCUGUCCAGCUGCUUUGUCUUGAUGAAGUUUCACGCUUUAGAGGUCACUGGAGUAAAGGAAUGGAAUUUAUUUUGCAAUCACUAGAAUAAAGAAAUGGAAUUUCUUUUGCAAAUAUCCGAGGUUGUUGAAAAGGCACAUUUAAGUAACGCUGACAGUCUAUGAAAAAAGAUUAGAAAUGGCAUGUAAAACCGGUAAUAUCACAAAGUUUCAUUGACAAGCGUCUCUGCUAUGACAUAUGUUACUUGGGAGGCAACUGAAACAGUACUAUACUUAUCAAUGCAGCUCUGUUUUGAAUAUUUUACGAAAUAUUAUAAUUCUGCCAAAUUUUUUCAGAAAGUUCGCCAUUAGCAAUAGAAAAUUUACAUACUUAUUUUACGCUUUUGGUUUAUCUACAUAGUAACUUGUUUUUUAACUAUUAUAUAUUUCAAGAUUUGUAGAUUCAUAUACCCUUUAUUUUCGAAAAAAAAUCAGGUCAAGUUUGGACGACCUUCCUUAUGAGUUCUUAAAUACGAACCGAAGUAACUCUUAGUAAAAACAUUCGCAGGAGUUCUCAGUAAAAUAGAACAGCAGUAGAAAAGGCAGGAGGAAAAUACAUUGGGUAGAUUUUAGUUCACAUUCGCAAACAACUGAAAUGAAAUACGAAAAAAAAAAUAGCCAAUCAAACAGUACAUUUGAAAGUAAAAACGUUUAUUUAGCCUGGCUCAGUCUUCAGUUCUUCUUAACUAUGCUGGUUUUCAUUAAGUAUAACACGAAUACGAGCCACUUUCCUCUUAGAAAGCUCUCCAUGAAGGUAUUCGAACUGUUAGGCAGGUAGCCUAAUGUGCUUUGAAACAUUCUAAUAACCCUGUUCCUAAUUCUUUACUAUACUAGAAAAACUGUCUUUCGGCGGAUAGCGAGCGAGAGCCAAUGUACUAAACUGGGGGUAACUGUAGAAAAUAUCGUGCCAUGAAAAUGUAAAAAUAGUAUUUUGCUAUUUAAUGUUUUAUUUUUCCUUAUUAUUUUUCCGAAGACGCAGGGAAAAAUACAGAGCUUUUCGUGAAAAAUAUUCAUUACAAAUUGCAAUUAAAAUGUUUGGGAAAAAAAAAGCAUAGAAAAUGCGAUAACACACCUUUGAAUUGUUUUUAGCUCUCCGAAAAGGAACAUAUUUGCACUUAUCAGUAAAAUAUUAUGUGCAGUGUCAAUACCUUUUAGAACAACGAACUAAAAGAAGUUGUAACAAAUCUCCUCAUUGUUUACAGUCCUUACGCUGUAUUUACAAAAUAUGUUUUCAAUGCCGUAUCAAAUCAAGGAUGUAAUGAAGAUUCUAGAUUUUAUCCUCCAAUAAAAGUAUAAUCAGAAACUUCA